AAAAUGGCCGCCGCCUCGUGGUCGACAUACGAACGACGACCACCCUGUAUUCGGUUUUAAUUGAGAAGUGUCUGCGGUUAACCACAACGUUCUAAUUGGGAUCAAGAGGUUAACCAGCAGCACACUUCUCUUCUGGGUGGCCGUCCGUUCGGUAGUUUUGUUCGGCGGAAAAGUCAAUUCACUGAACAGGGGCAUACGAACGGGGAAUUCCACGAAAAGGCAAAAUAGACGAACCAGCAAUCCCAGUCUAUACAGAUGGAUCUGUCACACGGCUCCCCCCUUGUGGAACACUCUGGCAGACCCAGCUUGACCC
rnacentral:lncRNA from 1 species